GCCUUCGUGGUGUAACAGUAGCACGCUGGGCCUUUAUUCCAGAGGUCCGUGGUUCGAUUCCCGGCGAAGGCG
rnacentral:tRNA from 1 species